UUUGAAUCAUUUUAACUUCCGGGGCUUGGUUUUCAUUUCCAUGAGGCUGUACCAAACCUGUGAUUUUUCUGUCUGCAUCACAAAGGCUGAAUUUGGUAUCCUUAUUUUAGGUCUAACUGAUCUGGCUGUGCUUUAAAAAACACAAAACAGGAAGAAAAGAGCUGAAGAUGGGGAAAAGAAAGGAGUGUUUUCAGAUUUGAAACAUCUGCCCUCCAGCCCACGCCACUCCACCCACCCAGGAGAGGACACAAGUCAUCCCUUCUUAGAGAUUCGGCAUUGGCCACCAGUCUGGAGAUCGAGGAUGGAGCCAAUGGAUGGAGUCCAAAAUCUAAAGGCCACCUACUCCAGAGCUCUGUCCAGCUUGAAGAAGUCAAAUGGUGCAAACUCACAGCUGCCUGAGAAUCCAGGGGUUGGAGAGGGAAGGCAAGAGGAUGAGCCGCUGAAUGGAGCCAAGAAGCAGAGCAGAGACUCAGCCCCUGACCCUUCUGCAGCGAUGGCUGCUAAUCCCUGGCUGGCAUCUCAGUUGGCUGGAGAUGGCCACGGGAAGCCACCAGGAGUUCUGACAACGCAGUGACAUUCCUGCCAUCACAGCUAAAGAUAGAUUAAACAGGUCUCAUAAACCGGAUUGUGAAUGAGCCAAGUUAAUUCUCAACAGGAGCCUUCACAGAGCCAGCAGGUUUAACUCUGCAAAGACAGUAAGCAGCAAGUCUUCUCCACUGAGACACAAAAGGAGGGGAUGAACCAGUCUGCAGUGGGAAGAGCCGAAUUUGUCACACGGGAAAAGACAAUGGCAGCAAGGGAAUGUUAGAUACAGGGUUACUGUACCACCUCAGAAUGUUUUCAGUUAUAAGUAACUUAAAAAUCUAUGGUGGCUGAAGCUAUAAUACAUUUUGCAUUUUUGGGUUUUUUAGCAUGUAGUAAGUGUACAUAAUUGUGGGGUACAUUGUGAUUGUUUAACACAUGCAUACAGCACGGUCAGGGUAAUGGGCAUGUCCACCUCCUUGACAUUUCCUUAUGUUGGGAGGCUUUGCGCUCCUCUUUUCCAGACCUUUACGAAGUACAUCAUUGGCAAUUGUGGUGGACACCUGUAAUCCCAGCUCUCAGGAGGCCGAAGCAGGAGGAUGGCAAGUUGAAUCUAAACUAUAUGGCAAGACUUUGUCUCAAGAAAGUAAAUAACAAAAGUGAAACCAGAUAUAUUUCAGUCUUUGCUUUUUCUUUUUUUCUUAGCAAC